rnacentral:RNase_P_RNA from 1 species
CAGCUUCGACGGACGGCCGCUCUGCGUCAGCGGGGAGGAAAGUCCGGACACCACAGAGCAGGAAGUCCGGUUGAAAGACCGGAUGUCGCGGCCCAGACGCCGCGGCCAGGAAAGCGCAACAGAAAACAAACCGCCCUUCGGGGUAAGGGUGAAAGGGUGGGGUAAGAGCCCACCGCGUCCGGAGGCAACUCCGACGGCAGUGCAAGCCCCUUCCGGUGCAAGACCAAAUAGGGAACGACGGUGCUGCUCGCACCAUGGCCUAAUCAGCCGCAGUUCCGGGUAUCGGUCGCAUAGAUGAAUGGUCGUCACCACCGCGUCACUGCGGGGGUACAGAAUCCGGCUUACAGUCGAAGCUGCUUU